rnacentral:rRNA from 1 species
UCGGGUUGUAAAGCACUUUUGUCCGGAAAGAAAUCCUUGGUCCUAAUAUGGCCGGGGGAUGACGGUACCGGAAGAAUAAGCACCGGCUAACUACGUGCCAGCAGCCGCGGUAAUACGUAGGGUGCGAGCGUUAAUCGGAAUUACUGGGCGUAAAGCGUGCGCAGGCGGUUCGCUAAGACCGAUGUGAAAUCCCCGGGCUUAACCUGGGAACUGCAUUGGUGACUGGCGAGCUAGAGUGUGGCAGAGGGGGGGUAGAAUUUCCACGUGUAGCAGUGAAAUGCGUAGAGAUGUGGAGGAAUACCGAUGGCGAAGGCAGCCCCUGGGCUAACACUGACGCUCAUGCACGAAAGCGUGGGGAGCAAACAGGAUUAGAUACCCUGGUAGUCCACGCCCUAAACGAUGUCAACUAGUUGUUGGGGAUUCAUUUCCUUAGUAACGUAGCUAACGCGUGAAGUUGACCGCCUGGGGAGUACGGUCGCAAGAUUAAAACUCAAAGGAAUUGACGGGGACCCGCACAAGCGGUGGAUGAUGUGGAUUAAUUCGAUGCAACGCGAAAAACCUUACCUACCCUUGACAUGGACGGAACUCCGCUG